AACGAACGCUGGCGGCAGGCCUAACACAUGCAAGUCGAGCGAGAUCUUCGGGUCUAGCGGCGGACGGGUGAGUAACGCGUGGGAAUAUGCCUCUUGGUACGGAAUAGCCUCGGGAAACUGGGAGUAAUACCGUAUGUGCCCUCUGGGGGAAAGAUUUAUCGCCAAGAGAUUAGCCCGCGUUGGAUUAGGUAGUUGGUGGGGUAAUGGCCUACCAAGCCGACGAUCCAUAGCUGGUUUGAGAGGAUGAUCAGCCACACUGGGACUGAGACACGGCCCAGACUCCUACGGGAGGCAGCAGUGGGGAAUCUUAGACAAUGGGGGCAACCCUGAUCUAGCCAUGCCGCGUGAGUGAUGAAGGCCUUAGGGUUGUAAAGCUCUUUCAGCUGGGAAGAUAAUGACGGUACCAGCAGAAGAAGCCCCGGCUAACUCCGUG
rnacentral:rRNA from 1 species